rnacentral:tRNA from 1 species
AAAAAUUUAGUUAAGUUAUAACAUUAGUUUGUCAUACUAAA